GAGUCUCCCCAAUAGGAAGGUGGGAAGUUCUUGGAGGGAAGGAUGCCGGGGGUCUAUUUGGAAACAGCCUCUCUAUCCAAGUGUAGGGGUAAGGUCUGCGUACACACUACCCUACCCAGAAUCCACUAAAUUGGAUUAUACUGGGUUGUUGUUGUUGUUGUUGUUGUUGUUGUAUAUCUGUAUUGAUAAUGUUAAUGGAAUAUAAA
rnacentral:lncRNA from 1 species